GGGGGACCAUCCUCCAAGGCUAAAUACUCCUGACUGACCGAUAGUGAACCAGUACCGUGAGGGAAAGGCGAAAAGAACCCCGGCGAGGGGAGUGAAAAAGAACCUGAAACCGUGUACGUACAAGCAGUGGGAGCCUCUUUAUGGGGUGACUGCGUACCUUUUGUAUAAUGGGUCAGCGACUUAUAUUCUGUAGCAAGGUUAACCGAAUAGGGGAGCCGAAGGGAAACCGAGUCUUAACUGGGCGUUAAGUUGCAGGGUAUAGACCCGAAACCCGGUGAUCUAGCCAUGGGCAGGUUGAAGGUUGGGUAACACUAACUGGAGGACCGAACCGACUAAUGUUGAAAAAUUAGCGGAUGACUUGUGGCUGGGGGUGAAAGGCCAAUCAAACCGGGAGAUAGCUGGUUCUCCCCGAAAGCUAUUUAGGUAGCGCCUCGUGAAUUCAUCUCCGGGGGUAGAGCACUGUUUCGGCAAGGGGGUCAUCCCGACUUACCAACCCGAUGCAAACUGCGAAUACCGGAGAAUGUUAUCACGGGAGACACACGGCGGGGGCUAACGUCCGUCGUGAAGAGGGAAACAACCCAGACCGCCAGCUAAGGUCCCAAAGUCAUGGUUAAGUGGGAAACGAUGUGGGAAGGCCCAGACAGCCAGGAUGUUGGCUUAGAAGCAGCCAUCAUUUAAAGAAAGCGUAAUAGCUCACUGGUCGAGUCGGCCUGCGCGGAAGAUGUAACGGGGCUAAACCAUGCACCGAAGCUGCGGCAGCGACGCUUAUGCGUUGUUGGGUAGGGGAGCGUUCUGUAAGCCUGCGAAGGUGUGCUGUGAGGCAUGCUGGAGGUAUCAGAAGUGCGAAUGCUGACAUAAGUAACGAUAAAGCGGGUGAAAAGCCCGCUCGCCGGAAGACCAAGGGUUCCUGUCCAACGUUAAUCGGGGCAGGGUGAGUCGACCCCUAAGGCGAGGCCGAAAGGCGUAGUCGAUGGGAAACAGGUUAAUAUUCCUGUACUUGGUGUUACUGCGAAGGGGGGACGGAGAAGGCUAUGUUGGCCGGGCGACGGUUGUCCCGGUUUAAGCGUGUAGGCUGGUUUUCCAGGCAAAUCCGGAAAAUCAAGGCUGAGGCGUGAUGACGAGGCACUACGGUGCUGAAGCAACAAAUGCCCUGCUUCCAGGAAAAGCCUCUAAGCAUCAGGUAACAUCAAAUCGUACCCCAAACCGACACAGGUGGUCAGGUAGAGAAUACCAAGGCGCUUGAGAGAACUCGGGUGAAGGAACUAGGCAAAAUGGUGCCGUAACUUCGGGAGAAGGCACGCUGAUACGUAGGUGAAGCGACUUGCUCGUGGAGCUGAAAUCAGUCGAAGAUACCAGCUGGCUGCAACUGUUUAUUAAAAACACAGCACUGUGCAAACACGAAAGUGGACGUAUACGGUGUGACGCCUGCCCGGUGCCGGAAGGUUAAUUGAUGGGGUUAGCGCAAGCGAAGCUCUUGAUCGAAGCCCCGGUAAACGGCGGCCGUAACUAUAACGGUCCUAAGGUAGCGAAAUUCCUUGUCGGGUAAGUUCCGACCUGCACGAAUGGCGUAAUGAUGGCCAGGCUGUCUCCACCCGAGACUCAGUGAAAUUGAACUCGCUGUGAAGAUGCAGUGUACCCGCGGCAAGACGGAAAGACCCCGUGAACCUUUACUAUAGCUUGACACUGAACAUUGAGCCUUGAUGUGUAGGAUAGGUGGGAGGCUUUGAAGUGUGGACGCCAGUCUGCAUGGAGCCGACCUUGAAAUACCACCCUUUAAUGUUUGAUGUUCUAACGUUGGCCCCUGAUCGGGGUUGCGGACAGUGUCUGGUGGGUAGUUUGACUGGGGCGGUCUCCUCCUAAAGAGUAACGGAGGAGCACGAAGGUUGGCUAAUCCUGGUCGGACAUCAGGAGGUUAGUGCAAUGGCAUAAGCCAGCUUGACUGCGAGCGUGACGGCGCGAGCAGGUGCGAAAGCAGGUCAUAGUGAUCCGGUGGUUCUGAAUGGAAGGGCCAUCGCUCAACGGAUAAAAGGUACUCCGGGGAUAACAGGCUGAUACCGCCCAAGAGUUCAUAUCGACGGCGGUGUUUGGCACCUCGAUGUCGGCUCAUCACAUCCUGGGGCUGAAGUAGGUCCCAAGGGUAUGGCUGUUCGCCAUUUAAAGUGGUACGCGAGCUGGGUUUAGAACGUCGUGAGACAGUUCGGUCCCUAUCUGCCGUGGGCGCUGGAGAACUGAGGGGGGCUGCUCCUAGUACGAGAGGACCGGAGUGGACGCAUCACUGGUGUUCGGGUUGUCAUGCCAAUGGCACUGCCCGGUAGCUAAAUGCGGAAGAGAUAAGUGCUGAAAGCAUCUAAGCACGAAACUUGCCCCGAGAUGAGUUCUCCCUGACUCCCUGAGAGUCCUGAAGGAACGUUGAAGACGACGACGUUGAUAGGCCGGGUGUGUAAGCGCAGCGAUGCGUUGAGCUAACCGGUACUAAUGAACCGUGAGGCUUAACCUU
rnacentral:rRNA from 1 species